rnacentral:rRNA from 1 species
GAUGAACGCUAGCGGGAGGCUUAAUACAUGCAAGUCGAGGGGUAACAUGAGAGCUUGCUCUUGAUGACGACCGGCGAACGGGUGAGUAACGCGUACACAACCUACCUUUAAGUGGGGGAUAGCCUUGGGAAACUGAGAUUAAUACCCCAUAGUAUUGAUUUAUUAAUGAUUGAUCAAUUAAAGUUCAGACGCUUAAAGAUGGGUGUGCGUCCCAUUAGGUAGUUGGUGAGGUAACGGCUCACCAAGCCGACGAUGGGUAGGGGGCGUGAGAGCGUGGCCCCCCACACGGGUACUGAGACACGGACCCGACUCCUACGGGAGGCAGCAGUAAGGAAUAUUGGACAAUGGGCGCAAGCCUGAUCCAGCCAUCCCGCGUGCAGGAUGACGGCCCUCUGGGUUGUAAACUGCUUUUAUAAGGGAAGAAACCCUCUGACUUGUCAGAGGCUGACGGUACCUUAAGAAUAAGCACCGGCUAACUCCG